CCACUGCAACACAAUCAACAAUUAAAAGCAAUCUUAUGAAAGGUAAUAAUCUCUCUUAUGAUUUUUUUUUCUAUUUAAAGUUGAAAGUCCCAGGUCCUUUCCUUUUUUUUACUAAUAAAUGAGCUAUGGUUGACAGUUUAGCUUUGUUUUUUGUGUAGGCUAGGUCUAUGGGUGGGCCUGUAGGCGAAGCAGUCCACAAUUUACCACAUCAUCAUAAGUGCAUUGAAUAUUCAUAGAUCUAAACUCUUAUUUUCUUUUGUUUCCUAUUUUUGCUUUGGUCUUUUACUACUAUUAAGUAUCAAAGAGUUUUCCCUUUGCAACCAUAUUCAUGCUGUACCAAGUCAUUGGAACUGAUUCUUAAGGACGCAACUCUGUAGGAACAAAAUGGUGGCACUUCCAUUUUCCUUUUAAACAAAGAAAGCAGGCGAAAAUGGAAAAAGAAAUAAACUCUGGGUAGGAAAUUUUGGGAGAGGAAAAGAGGAAGAAAACCCAUCCCUGUUCACUUCUAUCUUUCUUUGAUUUUUACAUCUACUAGAAAAAAUCCACUUAACAUGCUAAAUUAAAUCAAGUGAGACCCUUAUAUAUUCAUGUGCAACUUUUUCAUUGGUCUAGAAACAACUA
rnacentral:lncRNA from 1 species